UUGAAUAUUGCGGCAGGUAGAUUAUAGGUUGUUGGAUCUGAAAACAAUUCAGAUCCAAUGGCCUAUAAUCUAGCUGCCGCAGUUUUCAG
rnacentral:pre_miRNA from 1 species